CAUAGUUGUGUAGCUGCCCUCACAGACAUGACGUUUAUAUUCCUCUCAGGCAGCGGCAAUAGCUGGGCUUUUUAAACUGGGUCGGUAGACACAGAAGUUACUAUGGAGACGUGUUUUAUUCUCAGCAUUUGGAUAUUCAGCCUCCUAGGUGCUGCGCUGGGCGACUCUGUCCAGUCCAAGGAACCCGAAGUGUCUGGAUCAGCUGGAGGUUCUGUGACACUCAGCUGUUCUUACACCACCAGCGGUAGCGAUGCCUAUCUCUACUGGUACCGUCAGUAUCCGAACCAGGCCCCGCAGUACAUUCUCUGGAGAGGAGCGAAGUCAGCCAGCCAGUUCAGUGAUACCGCAGAUUUUGCCAAGGAGAGGUUUUCUUCCCAGGCUGAUGACAGCUCCACAGUUCUGAAUAUCACAGCCCUGGAGCUGGCGGACAGCGCGGUGUAUUACUGCGCUUUGCAGAGAGCACAGUGACACAGCCACGUAGCAGAGCCGAACAAAAACCCUCCCUUCCCAGCUGCAAAUAAUGCUGUGCA